UACGUAGGGUGCAAGCGUUGUCCGGAAUUAUUGGGCGUAAAGAGCUCGUAGGCGGUUUGUCGCGUCUGCUGUGAAAACCCGAGGCUCAACCUCGGGCCUGCAGUGGGUACGGGCAGACUAGAGUGCGGUAGGGGAGAUUGGAAUUCCUGGUGUAGCGGUGGAAUGCGCAGAUAUCAGGAGGAACACCAAUGGCGAAGGCAGAUCUCUGGGCCGUAACUGACGCUGAGUAGCGAAAGCAUGGGGAGCGAACAGG
rnacentral:rRNA from 1 species